rnacentral:lncRNA from 1 species
GGCCCCGCCUCCGGCUCUCCGGCCGGCAGGUUGGCUGUCCUGGCCUGACCCUGGGAGACUCCGCUGGGGCCGCCUGUUAUGGUGCUAGCUGCCGUCCCGGUGCGUACUUUCCCAAGGUGAAUUUGACCUUCUUUGCGACAGCUAGGCCCUGACUAAGGUCGACCCACCAAACACUGGAUCGUCCCCAGGCGAAAGAGAGCUUGUUCCCCUCAGCCUGUCGCGGAGGAGCGGAGCCAAUCGAGGGUCUGGUGUCCCCGUCGCCUCUCCAGGGGCAACCUGCGGACUAGGCCAAGGUCUGUAACAGGAUAACGUACCAGCGCCUGGCCCAGGCGUUCCUGCCGCCACCUCCCCGCAUAUCCGGACCGCCGGGACUGCACGCAGCUGGCAAGCGUCCCCCUGUUAACUCUGCAAGGGUGGGGCGGCACCAUUUCUCAGACCAGAAUCUCGGUCUGUCGCCCAGGGUGGAGUGCAAUGGCGCGAUCUCGGCUCACUGCAACAUCCGGCUCCCGGGUUCCAGCCAUUCUCCUACCUCAGCCUACCGAAUAGCUGGGAUUACAGGCGCCCGCCAUCACGCCCAGCUAGCUUUUGUAUUUUUAGUAGAGACGGGGUUUUGCCACGUUGGCCAGGCUGGUCAACUCCUGACCUCACGUGAUCCGCGCACCACAGCCUCCCAAAGUGCUGGGAUUACAAGCGUGAGCCACCGCGCCUGGCCGACUAAG